GUCAUCGAUGUGAGACGAUGAACAGCCUUUGCUUCAUUCUUCUCUGCAUCUGUUUCAGUAAACUUUCAUCUGCAGCUGAUACCCUUUCUUCAUCUCAGAACAUCACUGAUGGCAACUCCUUGGUUUCCCCAGGUGGAGUGUUUGAACUGGGUUUCUUCACUCCAGGCAUUUCCAAAUCCCACUACUUGGGGAUUUGGUACAAGAACAUCCCAGUCCAAACCGUCGUCUGGGUUGCGAAUAGAGGUGCCCCAAUCAACGACUCCUCAGGCCAUUUGAUGAUCAACACCACCACAGGGACUCUAGUUCUUCUCAACAAGAACAAGACAGUGUUUUGGUCAUCAAAUUCGACCAAACAGACCCAGAAUAUUAGUCCUGUUGUUCAGUUAUUAGACAAUGGCAAUCUCAUCAUCAGAGACGAAAAAGAAGGAGCCAACUCCGAAAGCUAUCUGUGGCAAAGCUUUGACUAUCCGUCGGAUACUUUGUUACCGGAGAUGAAGCUGGGAUGGGACAUGAGAACCGGGCUUAACCGGAAACUAACUGCGUGGAAGAGUCCGGAUGACCCUUCUCCUGGAGACUUCACAUGGUUCUUGCAGCAGCAUAACUAUCCUGAGGCAGCUAUGUUCAGAGCGGGCAAAGAGUUUUUGAGGAGUGGUCCAUGGAAUGGCUUAAGAUUCAGUGGUGCUCCAGAACUAAAGCCUAAUCCCAUUUAUAGUUUCGACUUUGUGUAUAAUGAUGAUGAAGUGUACUACAUGUACAAACUUGAAAACAAGUCUGUAAUUUCGAUAAUGGUACUAAAUGGAACCACGAGUACACGCGAUCGUGUUACAUGGAUUGAAGCAGAUCAAACUUGGAAGGCCUAUGCAUCAUUACCUAGAGAUUUCUGUGAUCGAUAUGACCUCUGUGGACCGAAUGGGAAUUGUAUCAUUAGUAACAAUCCAGUAUGUCAAUGUCUACAAGGAUUUGAGCCGAAGUCACCAGAGAAAUAGAACUUGACAGACUGGUCACUUGGAUGUGUCCGUAACAAACCCUUAAGUUGCCAGGAAAGUGAUAAAGAUGGGUUUGUCAAGUUCACUAACUUGAAAUUGCCAGAUACUACAUACUCUUGGGUGAACAAAAGUAUGAACAUCAGGGAAUGCAGAGCCAAAUGCUUGAACAACUGUACCUGCAUGGCUUAUACAAGCUCGGAUAUCAGCGCAGGAGGUUCGGGCUGCGCCAUCUGGUUCAGUGAUCUACUAGACAUCAGAAAGUUUUCGGGUGCUGGCCAAGAUCUAUACAUUCGAAUGUCAGCUUCUGAGAUAGAUGACGGUAAAGUGAUGACAGGAAUCAUAGUUGCUGUUGUGAUAGCUGCAGUGUUUUCAGGAAUGCUCUUAGUUGGCUACUACGUCUACCGAAGCAGGACCAAAUUAAAAGAAAAACAAGAAGCAAAUCGAAGUAGGGAAGGGACACAAAAGGAGGACCUGGAGCUCCCGCUCUUCGACAUAACCACAAUAGCUAGUGCAACCGAUAACUUUUCAGAUGUUAUGAAGCUUGGAGAAGGUGGCUUUGGACCUGUUUACAGGGGGACACUAGCGGAUGGAAAAGAAUUUGCUGUGAAGAGGCUUUCAAGCAGGUCUGGUCAAGGAUUCAACGAGUUCAUGAAUGAAAUUCUAAUGAUUUCCAAACUGCAGCAUCGAAAUCUUGUAAAGAUUCUUGGUUGUUGCGUGCAAGAAGAAGAGAAAAUGCUGUUGUACGAAUACAUGCCCAACAGAAGCCUGGACAACUUCAUUUUUGAUCAAACAAGGGAAGAACCACUGUUAGACUGGCCUAAACGUUUCCACAUCAUUUGUGGAAUUGCUCGGGGUCUCCUCUAUCUCCACCAAGAUUCCAGGCUCAGGAUUAUACACAGAGAUCUAAAAGCAAGUAAUGUUCUCCUUGAUGAUGAAAUGAAUCCUAAAAUCUCAGACUUUGGCUUGGCUAGAAUAUUAACUGGAGGAAAUGAGACCGAAGGAAAUACCAAAAGGGUGGUCGGGACAUACGGCUACAUGGCACCGGAAUUUGCUGCUGAUGGGAUAUUUUCUGUUAAAUCCGAUGUCUUUAGCUUCGGUAUAUUGGUGCUGGAGAUUAUAAGUGGAAGGAGAAACAAGGGAUUUUAUCAUCCAGACCACAGCCAUAAUCUUAUCGGAAAUGCUUGGAGAUUGUGGAACGAAGGAAGGCCUUUAGAAUUGACUGAUUCAUGGUUAGAGAGCUCAUGUAAUCUAUCUGAAGUGUUACGUUGCGUCCAAGUUAGUCUUUUGUGCGUGCAACAUCAUCCUGAGGAUCGGCCAAGCAUGGCGUCUGUGGUUAUAAUGUUGGGAAGUGAUAUUGCAUUAUCUCAACCUAAACAACCUGGUUUCUUUCUGGAAAAGGAACAUGAAGCAGUCCAUUUCACUAUAGGUAAUGAAUCAUCAAUCAAUGAGAUAUCCAAUUCACUUUUGGAAGCUCGAUAA